UGGCAUACACUGAGUACUCAUGUGCUGGC
rnacentral:piRNA from 1 species